GGUGAACGCUGGCGGCGUGCCUAAUACAUGCAAGUCGAGCGAACGGACGAGAAGCUUGCUUCUCUGAUGUUAGCGGCGGACGGGUGAGUAACACGUGGAUAACCUACCUAUAAGACUGGGAUAACUUCGGGAAACCGGAGCUAAUACCGGAUAAUAUUUUGAACCGCAUGGUUCAAAAGUGAAAGACGGUCUUGCAGUCACUUAUAGAUGGAUCCGCGCUGCAUUAGCUAGUUGGUAAGGUAACGGCUUACCAAGGCAACGAUGCAUAGCCGACCUGAGAGGGUGAUCGGCCACACUGGAACUGAGACACGGUCCAGACUCCUACGGGAGGCAGCAGUAGGGAAUCUUCCGCAAUGGGCGAAAGCUUGACGGAGCAACGCCGCGUGAGUGAUGAAGGUCUUCGGAUCGUAAAACUCUGUUAUUAGGGAAGAACAUAUGUGUAAGUAACUGUGCACAUCUUGACGGUACCUAAUCAGAAAGCCACGGCUAACUACGUG
rnacentral:rRNA from 1 species